GUGAGUCAUCGAAUCUUUGAACGCACAUUGCGCCCCUUGGCAUUCCGGGGGGCACACCUGUUCGAGCGCCAUUUCGACCCUCAAGCAUAGCUUGGUGUUGGGCACGGUCCUAGGGGACCUGCCCGUAACUCGUAGGCGGCCACCGCCCGCGCCCCCAGCGUAGCAAGCUCACGCGUUCGCUCGGGGACGAUGCGCCUGGCAGCCCAAAACAAUUUUCAAGGUUUGGCCUCGGAUCAGGUGGGGAUACCCGCUGAACUUAAGCAUAUCAAUAAGCGGAGGA
rnacentral:misc_RNA from 1 species